CCCUUAGAUGUUCUGGGCCGCACGCGCGCUACAAUGAUGAAUUCAACGAGUUUAUAACCUUGGUUGAAAAGCCUGGGUAAUCUUUUGAACUUUCGUCGUGAUGGGGCUAGACCCUUGCAAUUAUUGGUCUCCAACGAGGAAUUCCUAGUAGGCGCAAGUCAUCAGCUUGCGUCGAUUACGUCCCUGCCCUUUGUACACACCGCCCGUCGCUCCUACCGAUUGGGUGUGCUGGUGAAAUGUUCGGAUCGGCCGUUUGUCGCGGUUUCCGCGUCAUGUGGCUGAGAAGUUCAUUAAACCCUCCCACCUAGAGGAAGGAGAAGUCGUAACA
rnacentral:rRNA from 1 species